UAGGGAAUCUUCGGCAAUGGACGAAAGUCUGACCGAGCAACGCCGCGUGAGUGAAGAAGGUUUUCGGAUCGUAAAACUCUGUUGUUAGAGAAGAACAAGGACGUUAGUAACUGAACGUCCCCUGACGGUAUCUAACCAGAAAGCCACGGCUAACUACGUGCCAGCAGCCGCGGUAAUACGUAGGUGGCAAGCGUUGUCCGGAUUUAUUGGGCGUAAAGCGAGCGCAGGCGGUUUCUUAAGUCUGAUGUGAAAUCCCCGGGCUCAACCUGGGAACUGCAUUCGAAACUGGCAGGCUAGAGUCUUGUAGAGGGGGGUAGAAUUCCAGGUGUAGCGGUGAAAUGCGUAGAGAUCUGGAGGAAUACCGGUGGCGAAGGCGGCCCCCUGGACGAAGACUGACGCUCAGGUGCGAAAGCGUGGGGAGCAAACAGG
rnacentral:rRNA from 1 species